GAAUUCGCCCUUAGAGUUUGAUCCUGGCUCAGGACGAACGCUGGCGGCGUGCCUAACACAUGCAAGUCGAACGGACGAGAGGGAGCUUGCUCCCUCAAGUUAGUGGCGGACGGGUGAGUAACGCGUGAGUAACCUGCCUUUCAGAGGGGAAUAACAUUCUGAAAAGGAUGCUAAUACCGCAUGACAUCGUAGUAUCGCAUGGUACAGCGAUCAAAGGAGCAAUCCGCUGAAAGAUGGACUCGCGUCCGAUUAGCUAGUUGGCGGGAUAAAGGCCCACCAAGGCGACGAUCGGUAGCCGGACUGAGAGGUUGAUCGGCCACAUUGGGACUGAGACACGGCCCAGACUCCUACGGGAGGCAGCAGUGGGGGAUAUUGCACAAUGGGGGAAACCCUGAUGCAGCAACGCCGCGUGAAGGAAGAAGGUCUUCGGAUUGUAAACUUCUGUCCUCAGGGAAGAUAAUGACGGUACCUGAGGAGGAAGCUCCGGCUAACUACGUGCCAGCAGCCGCGGUAAUACGUAGGGAGCGAGCGUUGUCCGGAUUUACUGGGUGUAAAGGGUGCGUAGGCGGAUCUGCAAGUCAGUAGUGAAAUCCCAGGGCUUAACCCUGGAACUGCUAUUGAAACUGUGGGUCUUGAGUGAGGUAGAGGCAGGCGGAAUUCCCGGUGUAGCGGUGAAAUGCGUAGAGAUCGGGAGGAACACCAGUGGCGAAGGCGGCCUGCUGGGCCUUAACUGACGCUGAGGCACGAAAGCAUGGGUAGCAAACAGGAUUAGAUACCCUGGUAGUCCAUGCCGUAAACGAUGAUU
rnacentral:rRNA from 1 species